rnacentral:rRNA from 1 species
AUUGAACGCUGGCGGCAGGCCUAACACAUGCAAGUCGAGCGGUAACAGAGAGAAGCUUGCUUCUUUGCUGACGAGCGGCGGACGGGUGAGUAACGCGUAGGAAUCUACCUAUUAGUGGGGGAUAAGCCAGAGAAAUUUGGUCUAAUACCGCAUACGCCCUACGGGGGAAAGGAGGGGCUCUUCGGACCUUUCGCUAUUAGAUGAGCCUGCGUAAGAUUAGCUAGUUGGUGAGGUAAGAGCUCACCAAGGCGACGAUCUUUAGCUGGUCUGAGAGGAUGAUCAGCCACACUGGGACUGAGACACGGCCCAGACUCCUACGGGAGGCAGCAGUGGGGAAUAUUGGACAAUGGGGGCAACCCUGAUCCAGCCAUGCCGCGUGUGUGAAGAAGGCCUUCGGGUUGUAAAGCACUUUCAGAUGUGAGGAAAGGUGAGUAGUUAAUACCUGCUUGCUGUGACGUUAGCAUCAGAAGAAGGACCGGCUAACUCCGUGCCAGCAGCCGCGGUAAUACGGAGGGUCCGAGCGUUAAUCGGAAUUACUGGGCGUAAAGCGCGCGUAGGUGGUUUUGUCAGUCAGAUGUGAAAGCCCAGGGCUCAACCUUGGAACUGCACCUGAUACUGCAAGACUAGAGUACAAUAGAGGGGAGUGGAAUUUCCGGUGUAGCGGUGAAAUGCGUAGAGAUCGGAAGGAAC